rnacentral:rRNA from 1 species
CAAUAGCGUAUAUUAAAGUUGUUGCAGUUAAAAAGCUCGUAGUUGGACUUCUGAUGUGGAGGGACGGUCCGCCUCACGGUGAGCACUGAUUCUUCACGUCUUCCUCUCGUAGUCUUUUGGCGCACUUAGUUGGGUGCCUUUAGAAUAUGGGACCUUUACUUUGAAAAAUUAGAGUGUUCAAAGCAGGCAGCUCGCUCUUGCAUAGGUUAGCAUGGGAUAAUUUAAUAGGACUCUGGUGCUAUUUUGUUGGUUUCGAACACCGGAGUAAUGAUUAAAAGGGGCAGUCAGGGGCACUCGUAUUCCGUCGAGAGAGGUGAAAUUCUCAGACCAAUGGAAGACGAACCACUGCGAAAGCAUUUGCCAGGGAUGUUUUCACUGAUCAAGAACGAAAGUUAGGGGAUCGAAGACGAUCAGAUACCAU